UACGUAGGGCGCAAGCGUUGUCCGGAAUUAUUGGGCGUAAAGAGCUCGUAGGCGGUCUGUCGCGUCUGCCGUGAAAACCCGAGGCUUAACCUCGGGCUGGCGGUGGAUACGGGCAGGCUAGAGGUAGGUAGGUGAGAAUGGAAUUCCCGGUGUAGCGGUGAAAUGCGCAGAUAUCGGGAGGAACACCGGUGGCGAAGGCGGUUCUCUGGGCCUUACCUGACGCUGAGGAGCGAAAGCAUGGGGAGCGAACAGG
rnacentral:rRNA from 1 species